AGAGUUUGAUCAUGGCUCAGGAUGAACGCUAGCGGCAGGCUUAAUACAUGCAAGACGAACGGUAACUGGUGUAGCAAUACAUUAGCUAGAGUGUCGUACGGGUGCGUAACACGUAUGCAACCUACCUUGUACAGGAGGAUAGCUCGGGGAAACUCGAAUUAACCCUCCAUAAUGUAGCGGAGAGGCAUCUCUUUUCUACUAAAACUACGGUGGUACAAGAUGGGCAUGCGACUGAUUAGUUAGUUGGCAGUGUAACGGACUACCAAGACGAUGAUCAGUAGGGGACCUGAGAGGGUGAUCCCCCACACUGGCACUGAGAUACGGGCCAGACUCCUACGGGAGGCAGCAGUAGGGAAUAUUGGACAAUGGGUGAGAGCCUGAUCCAGCCAUGCCGCGUGCAGGAAGAAGGCGUUAUGCGUUGUAAACUGCUUUUGCCAGGGGAUAAAAUGAGCGUGCGCGCUUAAUUGAAGGUACCUGGUGAAUAAGCCACGGCUAACUACGUGCCAGCAGCCGCGGUAAUACGUAGGUGGCAAGCGUUGUCCGGAUUUAUUGGGUUUAAAGGGUGCGUAGGUGGCCCUGUAAGUCAGUGGUGAAAUAUCUCAGCUUAACUGAGAGGGUGCCAUUGAUACUGCAGGGCUUGAGUACAGAUGAGGUAGGCGGAAUUGACGGUGUAGCGGUGAAAUGCAUAGAUAUCGUCAAGAACACCGAUAGCGAAGGCAGCUUACCAAGCUGUAACUGACACUGAGGCACGAAAGUGUGGGGAUCAAACAGGAUUAGAUACCCUGGUAGUCCACACUGUAAACGUUGAUGACUCGAUGUUGGCGAUACACAGCCAGCGUCCAAGAGCAAUCGUUAAGUCAUCCACCUGGGGAGUACGCCGGCAACGGUGAAACUCAAAGGAAUUGACGGGAGUCCGCACAAGCGGUGGAGCAUGUGGUUUAAUUCGAUGAUACGCGAGGAACCUUACCUGGGCUAGAAUGCCUUUGGACAGUCCUUGGAAACAGGGAUUUCCCGCAAGGGACCGGAGUCGAGGUGCUGCAUGGCUGUCGUCAGCUCGUGUCGUGAGAUGUUGGGUUAAGUCCCGCAACGAGCGCAACCCUCGUCCUGUGUUGCCACUCCGCAAGGAAGCACUCUCAGGAGACCGCCAGCGAUAAGCUGGAGGAAAGUGGGGAUGACGUCAAGUCAGCAUGGCCUUUAUGUCCAGGGCUACACACGUGCUACAAUGGACGGUACAAUGCGCUGCAAACCCGCGAGGGGGAGCCAAUCGCAAAAAACCGUUCUCAGUUCGGAUUGCAGGCUGCAACUCGCCUGCAUGAAGCUGGAAUCGCUAGUAAUGGCGUAUCAGAACGACGCCGUGAAUACGUUCCCGGGCCUUGUACACACCGCCCGUCACAUCACGAAAGUGGGUUGCACUAGAAGUCCUAAUCAAACAGGCCCAAGGUGUGACUCAUGAUUGGGGUGAAGUCGUAACAAGGUAACCGU
rnacentral:rRNA from 1 species